UUUGAGUAAUCGCGGUAGUGUAUUCACUACUGAGGAAAGUCCAUGCUCGCACAGACUGCGAUGUCUGUAGUGUUCGUGCUUAGCGAAACAAUAAGCUAAGGCAACAACUUGUUGACGGCAGAAAAAUGGCUAAGGAAUUUCUAUGCCAAAGUAUUCUUGAAAGUGCCACAGUGACGGAGUCUCUCUGGAAACAGAGAGAGUGGAACGCGGUAAACCCCUCAAGCUAGCAACCCAAAUUUUGGUCGGGGCAUGGAGUACACGGAAACGAACGUAGUACUCUGACUACUUUCAGCUGUAGGCUGUUAGCGGUAGACAGAUGAUUAUCGAAGGAAGUGGUCCUAGUCACUUCUGGAACAAAACAUGGCUUAUAG
rnacentral:RNase_P_RNA from 1 species